rnacentral:rRNA from 1 species
AGAAUCAACGCUGGCGGCGUGCCUAACACAUGCAAGUCGAACGAGAAAGUGGAGCAAUCCAUGAGUAAAGUAGGCGCACGGGUGAGUAACACGUGACUAACCUACCCUGGAGUGGGGGAUAACUGAGGGAAACCUUAGCUAAUACCGCAUAACACCUACGGGUCAAAGGAGCAAUUCGCUUUAGGAGGGGUCGCGGCAGAUUAGUUAGUUGGCGGGGUAAUGGCCCACCAAGACGGUGAUCUGUA